rnacentral:lncRNA from 1 species
GCUCGAAACACCAUCCUGCUGCACGGAGCCCAGCUGCCGCUCUGCAUGCUGUCCUACAUCACUCCUGUGAUCGACAGCAUUCUGCUUUCAGACUUCCCUCAGUACCGCACACACAUACUGUUUCUUACUUACCUGGUAUCACACAUUGUACCAAGGAUUCUGAGUCCGUUGAUUUAUGGUAUCAGAGAUUAAAGGUUCAGGAGAAGCAGGAAGGAGUAUUAGCAAUGUGCACAAGUAAUAACAAAGAGACAGACACGCGAUUGGUUUUCCGGGCUGUUACUUCAGCGGCCAGCCUGGAUCUCACACCUCCUUCAAGGAGCCAGGAGAGAGGACAGAUGCUCGCGAGCAGCUGGCAUGAGAACUGAAUCACAUCCCUUACCCAGAACAAAUAAAAACAUGCAAACACUGUUUCCUGGCAUUGAAAUAAAUGUAUUUUGGUAAAAGAUUUCCAGUACUUAAGAAAAUAAAAUGACUAAAAGUGUUGAGGAAAACAUACCGUAUGGACGGUCUGUAGCUGUGUGUCGUAAGUGUCAUCACAACAUACAGUAUUCGUAGAGCCUGGUGCGGAGAGAGCAGGAGCUCUGAGAAGGGGAGAGGGAGCGGGAGGCUGUGGGCAGGAAGGACGGGCUUAUCCACGCGGGGGGGCAGCCGGUGAGCCCUCGUCUGUGAGCUCCGAGGACCCUUGUCUUUUCAGUGUCCCAGUGGGUGGACCUGCCCAGCAACAUGUCCAGGACACAGAGUGGCUCUGGUGCCAGG